UACAGAGGUCUCAAGCGUUGUUCGGAUUCAUUGGGCGUAAAGGGUGCGUAGGCGGCGCGGUAAGUCGGGUGUGAAAUCUCGGAGCUUAACUCCGAAACUGCAUUCGAUACUGCCGUGCUUGAGGACUGGAGAGGAGACUGGAAUUUACGGUGUAGCGGUGAAAUGCGUAGAUAUCGUAAGGAAGACCAGUGGCGAAGGCGGGUCUCUGGACAGUUCCUGACGCUGAGGCAGCGAAAGGUCAGGGGGAGCAAAACGGGG
rnacentral:rRNA from 1 species